rnacentral:rRNA from 1 species
GAUGAACGCUGGCGGCGUGCCUAAUACAUGCAAGUCGAGCGAACGGACGAGAAGCUUGCUUCGCUGAUGUUAGCGGCGCACGUGUGAGUAACACGUGGAUAACCUCCCUAUAAGACUGGGAUAACUUCGGGAAACCGGAGCUAAUAGCGGAUAAUCUGUUGAACCGCAUGGUUCAAAAGGGAAAGGCGGUCUUGCUGUCACUUAUACAUGGGUCCUCGCUGCAUUAGCGUGUUGUUAAGGUGACGGCGUACUAUGGCAACGAUGCAUAGCCGGCCUGAGAGCGUGAUCGGGCACACUGGAACUGUGACACGGUGCAGACUCCUAGGGGAGGCAGGGGUAGGGAAGCUUCCGCAAUGGGAGAAAGCCUGCCGGAGCAACGCAGCGUGGGUGAGGAAGGUCUUCGGAUCGUAAAACUCUGUUCUUAGGGAAGAACAUAUGUGGAAGUAACUGUGCACAUCUUGACGGUACCUAAUCAGAAAGCCACGGCUAACUACGUG